rnacentral:rRNA from 1 species
UGGGGAAUUUUGGACAAUGGGGGAAACCCUGAUCCAGCCAUCCCGCGUGUGCGAUGAAGGCCUUCGGGUUGUAAAGCACUUUUGGCAGGAAAGAAACGUCGCGGGUUAAUACCCCGCGAAACUGACGGUACCUGCAGAAUAAGCACCGGCUAACUACGUGCCAGCAGCCGCGGUAAUACGUAGGGUGCAAGCGUUAAUCGGAAUUACUGGGCGUAAAGCGUGCGCAGGCGGUUCGGAAAGAAAGAUGUGAAAUCCCAGAGCUUAACUUUGGAACUGCAUUUUUAACUACCGGGCUAGAGUGUGUCAGAGGGAGGUGGAAUUCCGCGUGUAGCAGUGAAAUGCGUAGAUAUGCGGAGGAACACCGAUGGCGAAGGCAGCCUCCUGGGAUAACACUGACGCUCAUGCACGAAAGCGUGGGGAGCAAACAGGAUUAGAUACCCUGGUAGUCCACGCCCUAAACGAUGUCAACUAGCUGUUGGGGCCUUCGGGCCUUGGUAGCGCAGCUAACGCGUGAAGUUGACCGCCUGGGGAGUACGGCCGCAAGGUUAAAACUUAAAGGAAUUGACGGGGUCAUAGCUGUUUCCU